GGAGGAGUUUUCUUGGCCUUACGUGGUCAAGCCGGGACUGUCAUGGCGCAAUGGAAAGGACCAAAAAGGCAGGAACGCAUACUAAAAAUGGACAAGAGAGACGAUUUGGCCUGGUGACUUCAAGGUCCAGAGGCGGAGGAAGAAGCCGGCUGCCCUGGGCCCAGGGAAGCUGGGCCCCUGGUGCCUUCACUGGGGUUGUUUUCCUAAAAGCUCGGCUAACAGGGCUGCUGGCCGAGAGCCCCAGCCGGAGGCAGGCUAGCGGGUAGCCGUGGCCACAUCUGGAAGAGGUGUGGCAGAGCCUCGGGCCCCCCGCACCGAAGCCACCAGCCUCAAAGCAACAGCUGAUAAGCUCCCGCCACCGGCUGCAGCUCCGGGAAGCUGCCGGCCUCAGACCGACA